rnacentral:rRNA from 1 species
CAGCAGCCACGGGAAUACGUAGGUGGCAAGCGUUGUCCGGAAUUAUUGGGCGUAAAGGGCUCGCAGGCGGUUUCUUAAGUCUGAUGUGAAAGCCCCCGGCUCAACCGGGGAGGGUCAUUGGAAACUGGGAAACUUGAGUGCAGAAGAGGAGAGUGGAAUUCCACGUGUAGCGGUGAAAUGCGUAGAGAUGUGGAGGAACACCAGUGGCGAAGGCGACUCUCUGGUCUGUAACUGACGCUGAGGAGCGAAAGCGUGGGGAGCGAACAGGAUUAGAUACCCCUGUAGUCCCUGUCUCUUAUAC